rnacentral:rRNA from 1 species
UACGUAGGGGGCAAGCGUUGUCCGGAUUCAUUGGGCGUAAAGAGCGUGUAGGCGGCCAGGUAGGUCGGUUGUGAAAACUGGAGGCUCAACCUUCAGAGGUCGACCGAAACCAUCUGGCUAGAGUCCGGAAGAGGAGAGUGGAAUUCCCGGUGUAGCGGUGAAAUGCGCAGAUAUCGGGAAGAACACCCGUGGCGAAGGCGGCUCUCUGGGACGGUACUGACGCUGAGACGCGAAAGCGUGGGGAGCGAACAGG